rnacentral:rRNA from 1 species
UACGAAGGGGGCUAGCGUUGCUCGGAAUCACUGGGCGUAAAGGGCGCGUAGGCGGCCGAUUAAGUCGGGGGUGAAAGCCUGUGGCUCAACCACAGAAUUGCCUCGAUACUGGUUGGCUUGAGACCGGAAGAGGACAGCGGAACUGCGAGUGUAGAGGUGAAAUUCGUAGAUAUUCGCAAGAACACCAGUGGCGAAGGCGGCUCACUGGCUCGGUACUGACGCUGAGGUGCGAAAGCGUGGGGAGCAAACAGG